rnacentral:rRNA from 1 species
GUGCCAGCCGCCGCGGUAAUACCGGCAGCUCGAGUGAUGUCCAAUAUUAUUGGGCCUAAAGCGUCCGUAGCUGGCCGCGCAAGUCCGUCGGGAAAUCCACUCGCCCAACGAGUGGGCGUCCGACGGAAACUGCACAGCUUGGGACCGGAAGGCUCGAAGGGUACGUUCGGGGUAGGAGUGAAAUCCCAUAAUCCUGGACGGACCGCCGAUGGCGAAAGCACGUCGCGAGGACGGAUCCGACAGUGAGGGACGAAAGCCAGGGUCUCGAACCGGAUUAGAUACCCGGGUAGUCC